GUGAGUAGUUCAGAGUUUGAUCCUGGCUCAGGAUUAACGCUGGCGGCAUGCCUAAUACAUGCAAGUCGAACGAGGCAGCAAUGCCUAGUGGCGAACGGGUGAGUAACACGUAGGGAACCUGCCCUUUAGUCGAGGAUAACUAUUGGAAACGAUAGCUAAAACUGGAUAGUAUAUUGGAAGGCAUCUUCCGAUAUUUAAAGGUCCUGCAAGGGAACGCUAAAGGAUGGCCCUGCGGAGCAUUAGCUAGUUGGUGAGGUAACGGCUCACCAAGGCGACGAUGCUUAGCUGAGCUGAGAGGCUAAACAGCCACACUGGGACUGAGACACGGCCCAG
rnacentral:rRNA from 1 species